rnacentral:rRNA from 1 species
GAGUUUGAUCCUGGCUCAGAUUGAACGCUGGCGGCAGGCCUAACACAUGCAAGUCGGGCGGUAGAGAGAAGCUUGCUUCUCUUGAGAGCGGGCGGACGGGUGAGUAAUGCCUAGGAAUCUGCCUGGUAGUGGGGGAUAACGCUCGGAAACGGACGCUAAUACCGCAUACGUCCUACGGGAGAAAGCAGGGGACCUUCGGGCCUUGCGCUAUCAGAUGAGCCUAGGUCGGAUUAGCUAGUUGGUGAGGUAAUGGCUCACCAAGGCGACGAUCCGUAACUGGUCUGAGAGGAUGAUCAGUCACACUGGAACUGAGACACGGUCCAGACUCCUACGGGAGCAGCAGUGGGGAAUAUUGGACAAUGGGCGAAAGCCUGAUCCAGCCAUGCCGCGUGUGUGAAGAAGGUCUUCGGAUUGUAAAGCACUUUAAGUUGGGAGGAAGGGCAGUAAAUUAUAC